UACGGGGGGAGCAAGCGUUGUUCGGAUUUACUGGGCGUAAAGGGCGCGUAGGCGGCCACCGCAAGUCGACUGUGAAAUCUCCGAGCUUAACUCGGAAAGGUCAACUGAUACUGCGGGGCUAGAGUGCGGAAGGGGCAACUGGAAUUCUUGGUGUAGCGGUGAAAUGCGUAGAUAUCAAGAGGAACACCGGUGGCGAAGGCGGGUCUCUGGGCCGUAACUGACGCUGAGGAGCGAAAGCGUGGGGAGCGAACAGG
rnacentral:rRNA from 1 species